AGGGAGCCCUGCCCAAAAGAGCUUACACUCUACAAAGAGUAACAUAUAAAGCAACCAAUAACCGAUACAGGAGGGGAAGGGAGCCCUGCCCAAAAGAGCUUACAAUCUACAAAUGGCAACAGGGGGCAUAUUAACAGUUACUGCUAUCCUAGUGAGAAAAGUCCGUCUGUCACUGCUCCAUGUUGCUUUCAGUUGGGCGAUUUCAAUUCAAUCAAAAUUGGUGCCGGGGGACUGGGGAGUUUGAGCUCUGUUUUCUUUUUUUUGCCAAAGAACUGCAGGAGUCACACAUGGCUGUGCCCUACUGACCAUAGGCUUGUAGUUUGGCCCUGUCCUAUAAUGCCAUUUUUCAUUCAAAUGAACUUCUUAUUGUUCUAUGGUUUUUUUGUCUGAUAUCUCUUUGUUGGAAUGAUACUCUUCCUGCACUAAUAUAUACUGGAGCAUGUCUUUCUGCCUGCCCCUUCCCUUAAUCCUCACUUCCAUUUUGGAUGAAAACUUUGUUUUGUCAGCUCUUUAUUCUCCCCAAUCUCUUUUUAGCAGCAGAAAUGAUCUCCAAGUGAUCUCUUUGAGGCAGAUUCUGAGAGUGAGCAGAGUGACCAAAAGGCCGACUCCCCUCCGCAAACAAAGAAAAAAUCCAGAGAGGAAGAUGAAGAAUUAGCACUUGAAGAGAUGAAAAAGAAAAAAAAUCCAAGUCUGGUAAAUCUAAGGCAAAAUCUAAGGCAGAAGCAGAGCUGUCUGAUAGCUCAUCCCCAGACCUAAAACCAAAGAAGAAACUAUCAGAAAGCAAGGAAGAUUUAAGUAACAAAAAGCAAAAGAAGGAUGAUCUCAAAGAGUUAAAAAAGGCAAAGAAAGAAGAUGUAAAAGACCUAAAGGUCAAGGGAAAAGAUGAAUUAAGAGACAAACAGCAGAAGAAGGACAAAGUGAAGGACUGUGACCCCCCAGAUUAUGCCAGGCAGGUUUCUGAAGAGCUUUCCCAUUCCAUUAGUGUGAGUUCAGCCAUUUUAACAGAGGAGAAAAAACAACCCAUAGAGGAGCGAGAGGAAAAAGAACCAAUUCAGGAUCUGCCAGAGGGAAAGCCGAGCGAGUUACCCAGUAUGGAAGAGGAGGAGGAUGGCGACGAUGAGGAGAUAAAAGUUAAAGAAGAAGAAACCCCCCAAAAAAUAAAAGCUGAGAGAGGUGAGGAAAGGAAGGGCCUGUGUGACGAGCUGCAGAGUGAGAAAAAGAGCAGAAACAGCAGGAACCUUUGAGAAGGAAAAAGAAGGUAGAAAAACGGACACAGGAAAAGAGAAAACCAGGAAGAAACAGGAGUCUGAAAAAGAAGGGAAAAAAGAACAGAAGGGGGUAAAGACACUUUCAUGUCAGGGAUGGUCCCUUGGAUCAACCGGUUCUUCUUCCGGCUGCUGUUUGCCAGUAAAAGCCAACGGGUCAACAUCAGUCAUAAAGUCUUCAACUUCGACUGUCUGUUCAAGCAGCACGUACAGGACUGGGCUAUUCCCAU